UCAAGUAAAAUCCGUCUCGGUCAAUGCUGUGCAAAAUCCAGCAAUACCAAAAGACUCGCCUCUGUCCGGCGACAAAACCACAGAAAUUUCUCCGGCCAAAUCAGCCCCACACGCCUCCAGAACCUUCGGCGCGUGAGCCCACGCGCCGGCGCGUGAUCCCCUUUCCGGCCAGAUUUUCCGGUCACUCCUUCAGGACAGUUUGGUCGGAUACUAAUUCCGACCCUACCCAUCCUAUUUUCGUUCGAUUCCGACAACUUUGAGUUUUUCCCGGCGACUAUACUGACUUUUCCGGUCAUAAUUUCAAAAACUUCCUUCAGGACAGUAUGAUCGCCCUCGAAUUCCGAGCCUAUCCAUAUUUUUAUUUUUCAAUUUCGACAACUUUGAAUUUUUCCGAUAGGUACAGUGCUUUUUCCGGCAGCUACAGUGUUCCAGUUUUUUUUCCGACAGCUCCAGUUUUCAGUUCCAGUUUUCUGUUUCAGUUGAUAAUUCAACGAUGUCUUUGGGACUCGAUGCUUUCGGGUCUAGAAAUCCGAGUUCUGGCAGUUCCAGUGUUAUGAUUACCUCAGAACCUUUAAUGGGAGGUUCAAAUUACCUAGCUUGGGCUUCGUCUG
rnacentral:lncRNA from 1 species